rfam:Opisthocomus hoazin contig109520, whole genome shotgun sequence.
GUGCAUGCUGGGCUAUAAUUUAUGAAACGGAGCCCAGGAAACAACCAAUCACUUAGCUCCUCCUAACAAGUCCAACUGGCUAUGAAAAGCUGGAAGUGCUGCACAGAACAAUGAAGAGGAGCUAUUCCACAUAUUAAUCUGUUUAUCUAGGAUUGCUUUCUGUGUAGAGAGAGGAAAGCAUGUAACAAGGACAGGGAAAAAAAAAAGAAAGAAAAAUCACAGCCUUGCUCUUGAAACAACAGAAUAAAUUUCAAUUAACAGGCAACUCUUCCAUUGUAGUCAGAUGGC